UGUCUGAAUUUAUGAAAAUCAAAUAUCCAAUGAAGCAUUUUUCUAAAGGCAGAAGGAAUCUGGUCAGAGAAGAUGUCAAAACAACAGAAGUCACCCAAAAAGUGGAAGAAAUCUGUUCAGAGCAGAUGCUAAAAUAACAGAAGUCACGUAAAUGUCAUAAACGUAACAACUCUUCAAGAACUGAAAAUCACCUAGUGGAAGUAAACUUAACCAGUAGUGGAGAAAAAAAAUGGAAGCGUAAAUAAGGGACAACAAGUAUACACAUCACAGGUGUGGCUCGUCCAUUAAUUAAGUAAAUUACAUCUCAGCAUCCAUAAGGUCAUGUAUAAAAUUACUGGACAGGCCUGGUUGUUUAUAAUCACGACUAGCAUGGCUGCGAGAGGAGACCUCAGUGACUUUGAAAGAGGGGUGAUUGUUGGGGCGCGUUUGGCGGGAGCUACAGUGACCAAGACAGCUCAACUUACCGAUGUUUCACGAGCAACGGUGUCUAAGGUGAUGUCAGCAUGGAACUACGAGGGAAAGACGUCAUCAGCAAAGGGCAACAGUGGGUGGAAGCGCAUACUCCAGGAUCGUGAUGUCCGUGAAUUAAUUCAAACUUCAAAGCUAAAGAGGCGAUCAAUCGCAGAUCAAUUGACCGCAUAUUUCAACCUGGGGCGAGAGUAGUCAGUUUCAUCAAAAACGAUCCACUGAGAACUCUACAGAACGGGGUACCAUAGUCGUUGCUGUGC